UACAGAGGGGGCAAGCGUUGUUCGGAAUUACUGGGCGUAAAGGGCGCGUAGGCGGCCUUCUAAGUCGAACGUGAAAUCCCCGGGCUCAACCCGGGAACUGCGUCCGAUACUGGAAGGCUUGAAUCCGGGAGAGGGAUGUGGAAUUCCAGGUGUAGCGGUGAAAUGCGUAGAUAUCUGGAGGAACACCGGUGGCGAAGGCGGCAUCCUGGACCGAUAUUGACGCUGAGGAGCGAAAGCCAGGGGAGCAAACGGG
rnacentral:rRNA from 1 species